ensembl:lncRNA
CUCCCUUCUCACGCCUCGUGCCCACUGCUUCCGUCCAUUGACUGAUCUCCAUUGACUUUGAACGGGGACGGACGGACUGCAUUGUGGAUCCGUGCGCUCCGUUGGAGCCUUUGGCUCCGUCAAAAAGUUGAAAAAUGUUUUUCGGCAGCGACGGAACCGUCAUCCAAUCAGAUCACGUAUGCAAAUGUGAGCACUGUGACACUACUCGGGCUCACGCCUCGUGCCCACUGCACCGUCAGUCAAAGGACUGGGAAGGAGUGGCUGACGGAUGGGGCAGGUUUCCAGGGUCGUCAGAGCCCGAGUAGUGUCACAGUGCUUAAAUUGGCAUACGUAUUCUGAUUGGAUGACGGAUCCGUCGCUGCUGAAAAAGUUGAACAUUUUUAAACUUUUUGACGGAGCCUUCAGCGCACGGAUCCACAAUGCAUUGCACGUCCGUCCCCAUUCAAAGUCAAUGGGGAUCAGUCAACGGACGGAGGUAGUGGGCACGAGGCGUGACGACCCUGGAAAGCUCCCCCAUCCGUCAGCCACGCCUUCCGACGUCCUUUGACUGACGGUGCAGUGGGCUCGCUCUCGCUCUCUCGCGCUCUCUCUCUCUCUCUCUCUCUCUCUCUCUCUCUCUCUCUCUCUCUCUCUCUCUCUCUCUCUCUCUCUCUCUCUCUCUCUCUCUCUCUCUCUCUCUCUCUCUCUCUCUCUCUCUCUCUCUCCCUCCCUCCCUCGGAUAUUCUGAGCUUGGAGUGGUCAUGUAUACUGUACCAGUUGCUAUAUAUAAAAGCUUUAUGCUAUUGCUGGGAGGUAAAGAGCAUCUGAGGUUGUCUGUCAUCACAUCGUGUUCCUUUGACACAAUAAGUUUGCAUAAUUACUGAAUAAUGAUAAUAACAGUUUCAUGAAAAUGUUAGCAGAUGAACAUUUUCAUUUUCAUUGGCAAUCUCUAAAGAUGUUCCUUCAUUAAAACAGAAAUGCAUAAAAAAAAGGCCUUUUUUUUUUUUUUCGUUUAAAGACGUUUAGAAGUUGAGAAUAAUAUUUUAUAAAUAAAAUGUAUUUAUUUUCUGGGGGGUCAUGAAAUAAAAUAUUUACCGAAAUCCACACUCUUAGUGCCUUGGGUCCCUCGGGUUCUGCUUUCCAGAUAAAUGAUAAAACUAUUUUUUUAUUACUCGAUAAAACACUACGGAAAUUCCAAAGAUUGCACAUAACGGAUUCGCGCAAUACAUAUUUGUAAAAAGAAAACACAAUGUUCUGUGAAUGAGCUUCCCAUAGAAAAGAUCACAAACAUUUUUUGCACAUCUUUUCUCUGAAUGGUCAAAUCGCUGCGGCUCUAACUUCCGAUCUCAGAUACUGAUCGAAGGCGCGCUCUAUGGUCAGAUUAUGUACCGGGCUCUUAGGAUGCAAAGCGUGACGGCAGUGAUGGCCAGAACACUGCUCACCGAGGGUGUCAUCGGAGAGGAGUAGGGGGCUCUCCAGCAGGGUGGGGUCCGAGGGGGUCGGCACCUCCUCCUCCUCAUCCUGUGGCGUAGAAGGCUCCGUCGAUGGAGUAGCCUCGGGGCCCAUCUCCUCUGGGAAGAAUUGUUAAGAAUGUCAACACGGAACACAAACUAUCAAAGAAUAGUUCAUAAUAAGACGGAAAAUGACAGACGAGGAGAGCAUGUGAAAGGUUUCACAAAAGCUUUUCCCUAUGAAGAUAUUAUUUCAGAAGAAGAACUGAGCUCCUGUGACUAGGGAUGCACCGGUGUAUCGGACGAACAUCGGUAAAGGGUUAGCCACAUGUGUGCGCAGGCUUUGUUUUUUUCUGUCGUAUCACUCGGCAAGCGUCCUCGGUUGCUGAGCGACGUCAAGGUCAUUGUCGGACUAUUUCUCAGCUGAUUAACACUACGAAUAGUUGUAACAAAUUAAUUGUAAAAAAAAAUUUGGGCCAUAGUUUCCAUAUGCUAAAGAUGUGUCUAGUUCACCGUCGUGCAGGCUGUGUUCAGUCAAAUAAAUAGCAAUCUGUUUUCG